rnacentral:rRNA from 1 species
UUGUCUCAAAGAUUAAGCCAUGCAUGUCUCAGUACAAGCCGAAUUAAGGUGAAACCGCGAAAGGCUCAUUAAAUCAGUUAUGGUUCCUUAGAUCGUACCCACAUUUACUGGAUAACUGUGGUAAUUCUAGAGCUAAUACAUGCAAACAGAGCCCCAACCGGAAACGGAAGGGGCGCUUUUAUUAGAUCAAAACCAAUCGGUGUCGGUCUCCGUCAUCGUACAACUUGGUGACUCUGAAUAACUUUACGCUGAUCGCACGGUCUCGCACCGGCGACGCAUCUUUCAAAUGUCUGCCUUAUCAACUGUCGAUGGUAGGUUCUGCGCCUACCAUGGUUGUAACGGGUAACGGGGAAUCAGGGUUCGAUUCCGGAGAGGGAGCCUGAGAAACGGCUACCACAUCCAAGGAAGGCAGCAGGCGCGCAAAUUACCCACUCCCGGCACGGGGAGGUAGUGACGAAAAAUAACGAUACGGGACUCAUCCGAGGCCCCGUAAUCGGAAUGAGUACACUCUAAACCCUUUAACGAGGAUCAAUUGGAGGGCAAGUCUGGUGCCAGCAGCCGCGGUAAUUCCAGCUCCAAUAGCGUAUAUUAAAGUUGUUGCGGUUAAAAAGCUCGUAGUCGAAUCUGUGUCCCGCGCCGCCGGUUCAUCGUUCGCGGUGUUAACUGGCGUGCCGCGGGACGUCCUGCCGGUGGGCUUAGCUCGAGAGGGCGGCCCAACUCAAUCCCGCCGCGGUGCUCUUCAUUGAGUGUCGAGGUGGGCCGGCACGUUUACUUUGAACAAAUUAGAGUGCUUAAAGCAGGCUAAAACUUCGCCUGAAUACUGUGUGCAUGGAAUAAUGGAAUU